rnacentral:lncRNA from 1 species
AUGCAGGGCCUGUCUCUCCUCCCGUGCGCUGGUCCUGUCCCCAGGCAUUGGGCUGCUUCCUGGGGAUGGGCUGAGGUUGGGACGUGGGUCCAGCUUGGUGAGGCCCAUGGCCUAGUAAGGCGAUGCUGUGGGGAGCUGGAGACCAGCACUGGCACAGAGACAGACAACCCUGCAGGCUGCAAUGAGAUCCUGUGCCACCAGCAAGUUGGAGAAGGCUCCAGAGUGCAGGGCAGCUUUUUGUCUCUUGUGUUGCUGCAGGACAGUGCACUGUGAAGUGAAGGCAUAGAUGGGGACCCAGGUGUUGCUUCCGACUAAAAGCCUCUCUGCUGGAACUUCCUGACUCAUUUCCCUGAUUACAAGACAGCAGGUGUCAAAUACAUCAGAAAAAGAACAAAGGACAUUAUCUAUCCAUACUUAAUUAAAGUCAGAAAUGCACUCAAGCCCGGCUGUCUGAACCAGAAGGCCGUUAGGGUGAUUGUGUUUUAAUUUAUUUUAACUGUGCAGCAAGAAAUUUAAGAUGAUUAGGUCUGAGACUAAUGCACAUUAAAGAAUAGAAUUAUUUUCUUAUUUUUUGUUUGCUUCUGUUUUGAUUUAUUUUUAGAAAAAUACUAUUUUUGUAUUUCCUUACAGUUACAGCAUUUUUGUAAGUACUUUCUGAGAAUGCAGCACACAGCACUCAUGUAAAAUGUACAAGGUAGUCUGAUAAAUAUGCCGUCAUACCAUCUUACCUUUAGUUUAAAUGUCAUUGGAGGAACAGGGUUUCAACUUCAUCAUCUUCAGUGAUUACAUUACUGUUUUUUUAACAGUUUAAAUUUUCUAUUACACGAAUCCUAUCUCUUCAUCAAGUGGAAAUGGG